rnacentral:rRNA from 1 species
AGUGAACGCUGGCGGCAGGCCUAAUACAUGCAAGUCGAACGGCAGCACAGCAGAGCUUGCUCUGUGGGUGGCGAGUGGCGGACGGGUGAGGAAUACAUGGGAAUCUGCCCAGUCGUGGGGGAUAACGUAUGGAAACGUACGCUAAUACCGCAUGCGCCCUACGGGGGAAAGUCGGGGACCGCAAGGCCUGGCGCGAUUGGAUGAGCCCAUGUUCGAUUAGCUAGUUGGCGGGGUAAAGGCCCACCAAGGCGACGAUCGAUAGCUGGUCUGAGAGGAUGAUCAGCCACACUGGAACUGAGACACGGUCCAGACUCCUACGGGAGGCAGCAGUAGGGAAUAUUGGACAAGUGGGGGCAACCCUGAUCCAGCCAUGCCGCGUGAGUGAAGAAGGCCCUCGGGUUGUAAAGCUUCUUUUGUCCGGAAAGAAAGCAAUCGGUUAAUACCCGGUUGUUCUGACGGUACCGGAAGAAUAAGCACCGGCUAACUUCGUGCC